CCUACGGGAGGCAGCAGUGGGGAAUAUUGCACAAUGGGGGAAACCCUGAUGCAGCGACGCCGCGUGAGUGAAGAAGUAUUUCGGUACGUAAAGCUCUAUCAGCAGGGAAGUAAAUGACGGUACCUGACUAAGAAGCCCCGGCUAACUACGUGCCAGCAGCCGCGGUAAUACGUAGGGGGCAAGCGUUAUCCGGAUUUACUGGGUGUAAAGGGAGCGUAGACGGCAGCGCAAGUCUGGAGUGAAAUCCCAUGGCUUAACCAUGGAACUGCUUUGGAAACUGUGCAGCUAGAGUGCAGGAGAGGUAAGCGGAAUUCCUAGUGUAGCGGUGAAAUGCGUAGAUAUUAGGAGGAACACCAGUGGCGAAGGCGGCUUACUGGACUGUAACUGACGUUGAGGCUCGAAAGCGUGGGGAGCAAACAGGAUUAGAUACCCGGGUAGUC
rnacentral:rRNA from 1 species